AGCGCAGGCGGGAAACUAAGCGGAUCUUAAAAGUGCGGGGCUCAACCCCGUGAUGGGGUCCGAACUGGUUUUCUUGAGUGCAGGAGAGGAAAGCGGAAUUCCCAGUGUAGCGGUGAAAUGCGUAGAUAUUGGGAAGAACACCAGUGGCGAAGGCGGCCUACUGGGCACCAACUGACGCUGAGGCUCGAAAGUGUGGGUAGCAAACA
rnacentral:rRNA from 1 species